rnacentral:rRNA from 1 species
GCUCGCGCCUUACCAUGCAAGUCGAACGAUGAAGCCCUUCGGGGUGGAUUAGUGGCGAACGGGUGAGUAACACGUGGGCAAUCUGCCCUGCACUCUGGGACAAGCCCUGGAAACGGGGUCUAAUACCGGAUGACACCGGCUUCCGCAUGGAAGCUGGUUGAAAGCUCCGGCGGUGCAGGAUGAGCCCGCGGCCUAUCAGCUUGUUGGUGGGGUAAUGGCCUACCAAGGCGACGACGGGUAGCCGGCCUGAGAGGGCGACCGGCCACACUGGGACUGAGACACGGCCCAGACUCCUACGGGAGGCAGCAGUGGGGAAUAUUGCACAAUGGGCGAAAGCCUGAUGCAGCGACGCCGCGUGAGGGAUGACGGCCUUCGGGUUGUAAACCUCUUUCAGCAGGGAAGAAGCGAAAGUGACGGUACCUGCAGAAGAAGCGCCGGCUAACUACGUGCCAGCAGCCGCGGUAAUACGUAGGGCGCAAGCGUUGUCCGGAAUUAUUGGGCGUAAAGAGCUCGUAGGCGGCUUGUCGCGUCGGAUGUGAAAGCCCGGGGCUUAACCCCGGGUCUGCAUUCGAUACGGGCAGGCUAGAGUGUGGUAGGGGAGAUCGGAAUUCCUGGUGUAGCGGUGAAAUGCGCAGAUAUCAGGAGGAACACCGGUGGCGAAGGCGGAUCUCUGGGCCAUUACUGACGCUGAGGAGCGAAAGCGUGGGGAGCGAACAGGAUUAGAUACCCUGGUAGUCCACGCCGUAAACGUUGGGAACUAGGUGUUGGCGACAUUCCACGUCGUCGGUGCCGCAGCUAACGCAUUAAGUUCCCCGCCUGGGGAGUACGGCCGCAAGGCUAAAACUCAAAGGAAUUGA